rnacentral:rRNA from 1 species
UACGGGGGGGGCAAGCGUUGUUCGGAAUUACUGGGCGUAAAGGGCUCGUAGGCGGCCAACUAAGUCAGACGUGAAAUCCCUCGGCUUAACCGGGGAACUGCGUCCGAUACUGGUUGGCUUGAGUUUGGGAGAGGGAUGCGGAAUUCCAGGUGUAGCGGUGAAAUGCGUAGAUAUCUGGAGGAACACCGGUGGCGAAGGCGGCAUCCUGGACCAAUACUGACGCUGAGGAGCGAAAGCAUGGGGAGCGAACAGG